GUGAGGAAUUUUCCGCAAUGGGCGAAAGCCUGACGGAGCAAUGCCGCGUGAAGGAUGAAGGCCUAUGGGUUGUAAACUUCUUUUCUCAGAAAAGAAUUAUGACGGUAUCUGAGGAAUAAGCAUCGGCUAACUCUGUGCCAGCAGCCGCGGUAAGACAGAGGAUGCAAGCGUUAGCCGGAAUGAUUGGGCGUAAAGCGUCUGUAGGUUGUUUAAAAAGUAUUCUGUCAAAGAUUAGGGCUUAACUCUAGAUAGGCAGAAUAAACUUUUAAGCUAGAGUUUGGUAGAGGCAGAGGGAAUUCCCGGUGAAGCGGUGAAAUGCGUAGAUAUCGGGAGGAACACCAAAGGCGAAGGCACUCUGCUGGGCCAAUACUAACACUGAGAGACGAAAGCGAGGGGAGCAAAUGGGAUUAGAAACCCGGGUAGUCC
rnacentral:rRNA from 1 species